rnacentral:rRNA from 1 species
UACGGAGGGUGCAAACGUUGCUCGGAAUUACUGGGCGUAAAGCGCACGUAGGUGGUUUUCUAAGUCAGCUGUGAAAUCCCCGGGCUCAACCUGGGACUUGCAGUUGAAACUGGAAAGCUAGAGUAGGGUAGAGGGGUGUGGAAUUCCAGGUGUAGCGGUGAAAUGCGUAGAUAUCUGGAGGAACAUCAGUGGCGAAGGCGACACCCUGGACUCAUACUGACACUGAGGUGCGAAAGCGUGGGGAGCAAACAGG